CAGUUUGGUCCCUAUCUACCGUGCGUGUUGGAAACUUGAGAGGAUUUGUCCCUAGUACGAGAGGACCGGGAUGAACGCACCUCUGGUGCACCAGUCGUUCCGCCAGGAGCGCAGCUGGGUAGCUAAGUGCGGACGGGAUAAACGCUGAAAGCAUCUAAGCGUGAAACCCCCCUCGAAACGAGGUUUCCCUCGAGAGCCGUCCUAGACCAGGACGUUGAUAGGCCAGGUGUGGAAGAGCCGCGAGGCUUGAAGCUAACUGGUACUAAUCGCUCGAUCGGCUUGAACGGUCAUUUGUU
rnacentral:rRNA from 1 species